rnacentral:rRNA from 1 species
ACUCCUACGGGAGGCAGCAGUGGGAAUAUUGCACAAUGGGGGAAACCCUGAUGCAGCCAUGCCGCGUGUGUGAAGAAGGCCUUCGGGUUGUAAAGCACUUUCAGUAGGGAGGAAGGUAGUGUAGUUAACACCUGCAUUAUUUGACGUUACCUACAGAAGAAGCACCGGCUAACUCCGUGCCAGCAGCCGCGGUAAUACGGAGGGUGCGAGCGUUAAUCGGAAUUACUGGGCGUAAAGCGCAUGCAGGCGGCCUGUUAAGUCAGAUGUGAAAGCCCGGGGCUUAACCUCGGAAUUGCAUUUGAAACUGGCAGGCUAGAGUCUUGUAGAGGGGGGUAGAAUUUCAGGUGUAGCGGUGAAAUGCGUAGAGAUCUGAAGGAAUACCAGUGGCGAAGGCGGCCCCCUGGACAAAGACUGACGCUCAGAUGCGAAAGCGUGGGGAGCAAACAGGAUUAGAUACCCUGGUAGGAUAGCG